GUGAGUCAUCGAAUCUUUGAACGCACAUUGCGCCCGCCGGUAUUCCGGCGGGCAUGCCUGUUCGAGCGUCAUUAUAACCAAUCAAGCUCUGCUUGGCCUUGGGGCCCGUUAUACCGGCGGCCCUUAAAAUCAGUGGCGGUGCCGUCUGGCUCUAAGCGUAGUAAUAUUUCUCGCUAUAGGGUUCAGCCGUCCACCCGCCAGAACCCCCAACUUUCUUAGGUUGACCUCGGAUCAGGUAGGGAUACCCGCUGAACUUAAGCAUAUCAAUAAGCGGAGGA
rnacentral:misc_RNA from 1 species